CUGAGUUAGGGUCUUUCUAGGCCUGACCUCCCAACCCUUGUGUCUACCUAACCUAUUGUUGCUUCGGUGGGACGGAUCUGGCCCCCGCGGACGGACCCGCCGGAGGGGUGAUUAACCACCCUUCGGGAAAGUUUCCCACCGACGGCCCAUAACAAAUUCUUGUACCAAAACCCUGUCGUCUAAAGUAUUGAUAUUUUAAUCAUAAACAA
rnacentral:misc_RNA from 1 species